UAGUGAUCAAUGUACUCUUGUUGAUA
rnacentral:piRNA from 1 species